UUCCCUUCACCGCCAAGAUUUUUUAAGACAUCCAACUUCCAUUUUUUUUCUUUUUUCUUCUUCAAUUUGCAGAGAACUUCUAAGAGAGAUUUUGGAAGAAGAAGAGAAAUUUUACUAGAAUUUUGAGGUUGAAGAAGAGGAGGAGAACUCAAGCAAAGUGUAUCCAUGGCUGAAUUUUAGUUCAUUCUGCACAUCACUGGUUUUUAAUUCGGUUUGAACUCUUCAAAAGGAAUUAAGAGAAAACAGGGCAGUUGGUUUUCACUCGAAAUCAGGAGGUCUCUGGUUUUUCUUGUAUUUCAGAGUGUAUCGGUGGAGUUAAAAUCUCUAUUUAGUAUGGGACAAGUUAAAGAGGUCGUGUGCGCGCGAUUCUGGAAGUGGUUCUAUUUUGAGGGUUAUAUGUGUUUAUGCACGGGGAAUCAGACUUAUAUGUCUUCAGGCCGAGAAGAAUUAAACCGAGCUUAUAGACCAAGGAUUUAGCCCAAGACUGUAGAGAUCGAGUUCCCGGUGCCUGAUAGACUGCCUUAGUCUGCUGAAGCUUCGUUAUCGAUUGUCAGUACGUGUUUUGAGUUGGGCAUAGAGUAUGUUGUGUUGUGAUGUAUAUACACCCUUGUAUGUUAUAGAUACUCCACAGUUUGUAUAAGCUUUAGGAGCUGUAGUUGUGUAAAUUUUGUUGGUUAUAUUUUGAUUAAGGUGUCUUUAGGUUUACUCGUGAAAUCGGUAAAUUUUGAGAUA